UACGGAGGGUGCAAGCAUUAAUCGGAUUUAUUGGGCGUAAAGGGGGCGUAGGCGGAGAUGCCAGCCAGAUGUGAAAUCCCGGGGCUCAACCCCGGAACUGCAUUUGGAACUGCAUUUCUAGAGGAUAGACGGAGAAAACGGAAUUCCACAUGUAGCGGUGAAAUGCGUAGAUAUGUGGAAGAACACCGGUGGCGAAGGCGGUUUUCUAGUUUAUUCCUGACGCUGAGGCCCGAAAGCUAGGGGAGCAAACAGG
rnacentral:rRNA from 1 species